CCCUCAGGGGACCGAAGAUCCUCAGGCAUCCCAGAAUGCCCCUCCGCAAAGUUGAGGGCGGGGAGGGGGUACUGUUGCUAGGUAAAAGAUCGUUUCCCCGGGAAACUUCGCCCCCGAAAGUCCAGUGUUAGCGCCUCCUAGAUCGGAAUAACGGAGCUGCCCUCUCGAGGACCCAGUUAGGGGCCUCUUGAUUAAGGCCGCUGUAUGCCACACCUCGUCCAUGAUGCCGGCACUCGGGGAGAACUGGGCUGGAGGUCCGCGCGCGCAAGGCCCUCUCCCUGCCGGGGCCCGAGGACGGCGGCUGGCGAGGCUCAGGCGGCAGCGGGGCCAGAAGGCUGUUGCAGCGCAGGCGGGCGCUGGCCCUUCAAGGAGUCCGCCUCCCAGUUAGGCUCGCGAGUAGGUUCGAGAGGGGAGACGAAGCGGAAUCCGGAGGUGACCGCUGCGGUCCCUGUAGCUGCCCCGCGAGGCGGCCGGCCUGUGGGGACCACCACUCUACGCCGGGGCACUCCAUUCACUGCCCAGUGUGGGCUUAGGAAGUCUUGGGAAGGCCAGCAUCAGGAGAUUGACGGUUGGUGAUGUUCUCCAGGCCUGGAGACAGCUGGAGAGGCUUUGGAGAGGCCACAUCUCUAGGCCAGGUUGGAGAAGAGCCCCCAGACUCAGCUGUCCUUCCUGCAGGACAAGCUGAGCCUUGAUUAUUUCCCUGCCUAUGGCUGGCUCUUUGUCAACGAGGCAGACAGGGCCCCCUGGAAAUUGGAGGGUGCCCAAGGCUCCUUGGUGGAGCCUGCUGUGGACUGGUCUGCAGCUGCCACCUUGACCUCUCAGCUGCAGCAGAAGUGGGGAGCCAGCCCUCACCAUGUGGAACAGACCACCCUGAGGGAGCUGAGGCUGAACACCCCCCACUCUGCUGAGGAGAGGGAGCCGGCCCAUCUUGAUGGCACCCAGCAGUGACACAGAGACAUCCCAGGACCAGGGAAACCCAGCUCCAGUCAGAAAAAACAGCCUCUGCAGCCAGUCAUUACUGGGCAACCUCCAGGGUGGCAUGGGUGGGUGUCUCUUGUCUGGAGAGCUGGAGGAGUAGCUGCUGGGGGAGACCCUGCCAUCCUGGCCAUCACCACCACUACAAGUGACAUGCAGCACCCUGGAGCUGGGCAUCUCCACUCCAAGCAGGGCUUCCCUGUGACCUAGAACAAGCAGAGAAGAGGCCUGACUGCCCCCUCUACUGUGGAGCUCCAAAGUUCCCUGUGAUUGGCUCCAGCUGGAUUGACUCCACAGCCCAACUUGUGCUGACCUCGAGCCCCUCUUUAGCUUCUUCCUGGAACUCCUUCUGGUCAUUUGCCUUCUCCCCAAGAGCAAGCUGAUGUGGAUUCACAAUGGCUGGGCUUCAGAUCCAGAAGGUCAGCUCCCUCCCUGCCUCUAUGUAAGAGGCAGGAACACACAAAAGGCUGCCCCCCCUGAAGCUUCCCAGUGUUCCCUCCCCCUGUGGUGGGUGAUUCCCAAGGUUUCCAGGCUCAGGCCUUCAGAGUGUCAGUGUCAGAGAUGGCUCCUGUGGCAGUGACCCAGAUGCCCCUGCCAUCUGCCCUUCACUCCCUGUGUCUACAGAGGGAAAGGCCUCAGUUUGAAGGGGACAUGACCACCAAAGGUCCCCAGGGCCUGCUGCUAAUUGCACUUCUUUGUGGAAGAUGCCUUUCUUAUUAGGCCCAAAAGAAAUGUCCUUGAGGAAGGGAAGGAAGAGGGCUCUGGCUGACAUCUAGGUGGGACAGAGGCAGCAGCUAGUGAAGGCCUAGAAGUGAAACUUGGAGCAUUGUCCUGGUGUUUGCCAGUUGCAAGAUUUUGUUGCUUUGUGACUGGAGUCCAGCAAGCAGUAGUGGAAUGGAAUGGAAUGGAUGGCUUCCAGGGCGCUAUCACCUAGACCCGAAGGAAAGAGCAAAGAUGGGCGAUAGAAAGGGGCUGGGGGAAGAGUUGUUGACAGUGACAUGACCCUGAGCUGUAUCCCCAGCAGCUGAAAGUCCAGCCACCUCCCCGUGUCUUCCUUUCCUUCCUUUAUGUGUCUUAUUCCAACCUGACAAAAGAGAAGUCACAUAAAGCAUCAUGGUCCUCAAAACAUCCAUCAGCCUCUGGCCCAUGGAGUCAUGGCUCUUAGGGGAGCUUUAGGGGGGCUGCUUGCUCCUGAAAGAGGUGGAUUAUCCAGGAUACAGAGGCAAAGCUAGCAUGGAUGGCAACAGACCUUCCAAUCUGCUGUCCCAGACUGAUAUGGACUGCCUCCCAGAAGGGCUGCAGUAUCCUUGUCCAGAGCAUGCCCACGGGCUACUGGGUCGUGAUGUUUAGAGCGUGUGGUCCUUGGUUCCUUUCCAAAGUGAAGAGUCUUUGGUUCUGCCGUUCCUGAUGGUGUGUGGACAAGUGGUGUCUGCCUGCAUCCCGAGGUGGGAGCUUGGAGGCCCAGCCUCUGGACACUGGAUCUCCUGGAUGACGGACUGACGCUGUAUAUAUGAGUACCUUCUCUGUAAUGAUCUUGUUUGUUCAUGCAGAUCUGUGGUCGAAUGCAGGGAUUGUUUCUCCUUUUUUCCCCCAAACCUCAGAAUAUUCCCCAGCGGCUGGCAUGUAGUAGCUGCUUUGUAAAUGCUUAUUUCUUGUAGAGGCAGCUGGCUGUCCCAUUCUUGGGUUCAGAGAGACCUGCCUCCAAAUCCUGCCCCAGACAUGCAGUAGCUGUGCGACCCUGGACAAGUCUCUUAGGCUUUCUCACCUCUGCUUGCUCAUCUGUCAGAUGGGCAGAAGGCUGGCCCCUCCCUCACAGGGUCAAAUGGCAUACCAUAUGUAUAUUGCUUUGCAUGCCUUAGGCUGCUGUAUAAAUACUAGCUACCAUUAUCAUCUUAACUGUCGCUGGACAGACAUUCCCUCAGUUCUCUCCUGAGCCAGAGGAGCUCAGUAGACGCAGAUACCUCAAAAGGGUUUUCUUCCUUUCCCUCUGUGAAUCAUGUAGAUUGGUUCCAGAUGGGUCCCCAGAGGUGGGAGACAGAAGGGGCAGUGGUCCCCUCUCCUACCUGGCCUUCCCUGGCCAUGGCAUCAUGGCCUCUUCCCCCCGCUCCCAUUUUUGUGUCUGACUUUCCUGGUCUUCUUCCACCCAGAAUCCCCUGGUGCAUCUGUCAAGGCCUGACAGUGAGUGGGACAGCUACCCUGGUCUCAGCAACAGGGGCUGGGGUCAGGGCAAGAUUCUGUGUCAGGCAGGGUGGCCAGCAGCUUGAUGACCAAGUGGGGACUGCUGUCCCUGGUCCAGUGAUGGAGUGGUCCCAUACCAGGGUUUUUGGUCUUGAUGGUGUUCCCUUUGUCUCCUGCCCUGGACUGCAGGUCUGCCAGGAGGGUCUCAGGCACUUUUUCCCCUUACAUAUCUAAGGUUCCCUUUGUGUUUUAUCUUCUUUAUGUCCUCCUCUUAACAUUUAAUUCAACGAGCCUUUAUUAAGUGCCUUUUCUGUGCCAGUGCUAAUAACACAAUAACAGAAGCCUUCCCUUUUUACAAGGAGCUGGGAGAUAGUGUGGUUUUUUUUCUCCUGCAUUCACUCAUUAUUUAUGUGGGAGAACCUGUAGGCAUGGUUCAUAGGUUUGAUCUGAACAGAACCUUUUAUGAGAACACCUGGACUGACUUUCCUUUUAAAAUUGUGGACCUUGAGGUUCAGAAUGGGAAAUGUCUUUUUCAAGGUGAAGUGGUUCAGUAAAUCUUACAGGUGAGAUGAUACCCAUGUCUUCUGACAGUGAAUGCAUUGAUUUUCCCACUGAAGUACAAUGUGUCUCUAUUUUCUUUCCUGGCCUCUCAACUUCUACUCUCACAAAUUAGUUCUUCCAUCAGGAGAGAUUGGAGAGGCCAAGGUGAAUGAGACAGAAAGGUUGGCUGUAAGUCUUUGGAUGUCUUGCUUCAUCCCCUCUCUGCUGAAAGCAUCCCCUGCCCCCCUGCCAACUCUAGGGACACAUACGGCUGAUGGCACUUCAUCCUCUAUUCCGGUCCAAUUUUCGGGCCCAGCUAGGGGGGAGGGCCUCGCCAGUGAAAUGGGUUGUAGAGAUAUAUACAUUUGUCCUGUCUACAUAGUGAGAAAAAUGCCCCUUUGGAACGGAACCACCAAUGCUUCCUAAACCCUUUCACUUUUCCUGCCUGGCUUCCCUUAUUUUUACUUCCUGUUGUCCAUAAUUGGGUUAAAAUGACGCCUUCUCAACCUCCUCUUUGGGAUAUUUUUUUUUUUAGAAAUUAUUGCAUAGCUUUGACUACACUUCUACCUUGUAUUUGUAUGAUUGUAUGAUGCUUGCUUCAGACAUGUUACAGUGAGAUAUACAGAGGGCAGGCAGAUGUUCUCACCAGUUUUGUAGAACUUUAGGCGCUGGCUUCUAGCCAAGUGAGACUCUGAGGAGUUUGUGUUGGAAAUGACUACUUUCUCAUGACUUUGUAUUUUUUAUUUUUUUGUACUGUCAUAUAUGGAAUCACAUACAAGAAGGGUUUUAGUAUUUCUUUGUGUCCCCAGAAUGUAAGACUUGGUUUGAAAAAGAGAAGGCUUAAUAACUAUUUGUUGAAAUUAAAGAUACCUCUACUUGUCUCCUGAGCCAAAUGGGCUCUGUUGACUCAGAUGGAAAUUAAUGUGCUAUUUUCCUUCCCCACUGUAAAUGAUGUAAAAUGAUUACAGCUGGGUCCCCAGCGCUGGGUGGGAAAGGGGGCAAUUGUCUUAUCUCCCACUUGGCCUCCAUGCAGCCAUGAGUAUGUGGCUGUCCUUGUCAUUUUUGUGUUUGUAUUUUCUUGAGGUUAGGUAAAUGAGGAUACCCUGGUGCAUGUAUCCAGGAUGUAGGGUAGGCUUGUACAUUCCCAAAGAUCUUGAGGUUACCUGAGGCCUGUGGAUGGGGCACUUGUUUUUUCCACAAAGUAAUAGUGUUGUCUGGCCAGGAAGGCUUUAUUGAAGAAUAUGGUCCAUGGCAACAUGUCUCUAUAAAGCUUGGCCCUUGGACCAGGAGUGGUUGGAUAGGGCCCAGCCAAGGUGAAGUAGAAAUGUCUUAUGGGUUGUCUCGAAAAACCACUUUCCCUUUGGAAGUGGCUUCCCUUUAGCCUCCUCGUGUAUGAUAACUCUCGAAAUCCUGUUAAUCCCGUGAUUUUGUGCAGUGAUUCUUGUGUGUCUACACCUCUUUUCUGCCUUCUUCAGAAUAAAGGACUUGUUUCUUACCUGGUUCUUGUGUCUAUAGUCUGUAGCUUGUCUUUUGCCCUCCCUCUUUUGGGGGGACGCCUAGACUUGGGAAGACCCAAGGGAGGAAGGCAGGGAAGAGGAGAAUGGGCACAGCCAUCUACAGACCCUUGACAAAGAACAUCCCCAUGGGACACAGGAGGAAACUGAGGCACACACAGGUCCGGUGGUUUUCGGGUGUUACGCAGCCCUUCCAGCCUCUGUGCCCACGGCUUGAUGUAACACUCCCAGGGAGAGCUGGGUUGGGCCGGUCCUAGAGCCGAGCCCGGGCAAUGCCACAGCCUGGUCUCUGUGGAGGAAGCCUGCCCUCCCCUGCUCCAGCACUGCAUCAGUGAUCCUCAGCAGCACGGGCCCGGAGAAACCCCGCCUCCUUGUGACGUCAUUGGGUGAGUCACUCCCUUCCAAGCCAGAAGAUCCUCAUUCCUGAGUGCCCGCCCUCAGCAUCUCUCAUUCUGAGACUGGGGUUGCUGUUGCUAGGCAGAAGAACCGGCCUGGCGUGCCCCGCGUUCUCUUCUCCUCGGUAGGAUGUACGUAGUUACUCUGUCGAACACGCGUACCGCGCGCCGCGUCCAUGCCGACGGUGCUCCGGGAAGACAGGCGGAGAGAUGCACUGUUUUGCAUGCGGGUCGUCUCCCUGACUGAGGCGAGUACGGUGGCUGGCUAGGCUCAGCUGGCAACGCGGUCCGAACGCGGGCGGCACCGAGCCCGGCGCCGGCCCUUUAAGGAGUCACGUGCCGCGUGAUACUUCAUCCCUCCCUGUUGCGCUCGCGCCUCUGCUCGGCCGCGGACACUGGGCGGAGCCCAGAGGCGGCCAUGCUGUAACGCUCUGCCGCCCGGGACGCGGCGGUCCCGGCGGCUGAUCGGGGCUGGGGAUGAUGGGGACCACGACUCUGCUCCCGGGCACUCCAUUCACUGCCCAGUGUGGGCUUAGGAAGUCUUGGGAAGGCCAGCAUCAGGAGACUGACGGUUGGUGAUGUUCUCCAGGCCUGGAGACAGCUGGAGAGGCUUUGGAGAGGCCACAUCUCUAGGCCAGGUUGGAGAAGAGCCCCCAGACUCAGCUGUCCUUCCUGCAGGACAAGCUGAGCCUUGAUUAUUUCCCUGCCUAUGGCUGGCUCUUUGUCAACGAGGCAGACAGGGCCCCCUGGAAAUUGGAGGGUGCCCAAGGCUCCUUGGUGGAGCCUGCUGUGGACUGGUCUGCAGCUGCCACCUUGACCUCUCAGCUGCAGCAGAAGUGGGGAGCCAGCCCUCACCAUGUGGAACAGACCACCCUGAGGGAGCUGAGGCUGAACACCCCCCACUCUGCCCAGCUGCUGAGGAGAGGGAGCCAGCCCACCUUGAUGGCACCCAGCAGUGACACAGAGACAUCCCAGGACCAGGGAAACCCAGCUCCAGUCAGAAAAAACAGCCUCUGCAGCCAGUCAUUACUGGGCAACCUCCAGGGUGGCAUGGGUGGGUGUCUCUUGUCUGGAGAGCUGGAGGAGUAGCUGCUGGGGGAGACCCUGCCAUCCUGGCCAUCACCACCACUACAAGUGACAUGCAGCACCCUGGAGCUGGGCAUCUCCACUCCAAGCAAGGCCUUCCCUGUGACCUAGAACAAGCAGAGAAGAGGCCUGACUGCCCCCUCUACUGUGGAGCUCCAAAGUUCCCUGUGAUUGGCUCCAGCUGGAUUGACUCCACAGCCCAACUUGUGCUGACCUCGAGCCCCUCUUUAGCUUCUUCCUGGAACUCCUUCUGGUCAUUUGCCUUCUCCCCAAGAGCAAGCUGAUGUGGAUUCACAAUGGCUGGGCUUCAGAUCCAGAAGGUCAGCUCCCUCCCUGCCUCUAUGUAAGAGGCAGGAACACACAAAAGGCUGCCCCCCCUGAAGCUUCCCAGUGUUCCCUCCCCCUGUGGUGGGUGACUCCCAAGGUUUCCAGGCUCAGGCCUUCAGAGUGUCAGUGUCAGAGAUGGCUCCUGUGGCAGUGACCCAGAUGCCCCUGCCAUCUGCCCUUCACUCCCUGUGUCUACAGAGGGAAAGGCCUCAGUUUGAAGGGGACAUGACCACCAAAGGUCCCCAGGGCCUGCUGCUAAUUGCACUUCUUUGUGGAAGAUGCCUUUCUUAUUAGGCCCAAAAGAAAUGUCCUUGAGGAAGGGAAGGAAGAGGGCUCUGGCUGACAUCUAGGUGGGACAGAGGCAGCAGCUAGUGAAGGCCUAGAAGUGAAACUUGGAGCAUUGUCCUGGUGUUUGCCAGUUGCAAGAUUUUGUUGCUUUGUGACUGGAGUCCAGCAAGCAGUAGUGGAAUGGAAUGGAAUGGAUGGCUUCCAGGGCGCUAUCACCUAGACCCGAAGGAAAGAGCAAAGAUGGGCGAUAGAAAGGGGCUGGGGGAAGAGUUGUUGACAGUGACAUGACCCUGAGCUGUAUCCCCAGCAGCUGAAAGUCCAGCCACCUCCCCGUGUCUUCCUUUCCUUCCUUUAUGUGUCUUAUUCCAACCUGACAAAAGAGAAGUCACAUAAAGCAUCAUGGUCCUCAAAACAUCCAUCAGCCUCUGGCCCAUGGAGUCAUGGCUCUUAGGGGAGCUUUAGGGGGGCUGCUUGCUCCUGAAAGAGGUGGAUUAUCCAGGAUACAGAGGCAAAGCUAGCAUGGAUGGCAACAGACCUUCCAAUCUGCUGUCCCAGACUGAUAUGGACUGCCUCCCAGAAGGGCUGCAGUAUCCUUGUCCAGAGCAUGCCCACGGGCUACUGGGUCGUGAUGUUUAGAGCGUGUGGUCCUUGGUUCCUUUCCAAAGUGAAGAGUCUUUGGUUCUGCCGUUCCUGAUGGUGUGUGGACAAGUGGUGUCUGCCUGCAUCCCGAGGUGGGAGCUUGGAGGCCCAGCCUCUGGACACUGGAUCUCCUGGAUGACGGACUGACGCUGUAUAUAUGAGUACCUUCUCUGUAAUGAUCUUGUUUGUUCAUGCAGAUCUGUGGUCGAAUGCAGGGAUUGUUUCUCCUUUUUUCCCCCAAACCUCAGAAUAUUCCCCAGCGGCUGGCAUGUAGUAGCUGCUUUGUAAAUGCUU